rnacentral:snoRNA from 1 species
AAGAUGGACGAAGAUGAUCUAAUCUCACAAAUUCUUGCAGGUUUAGAUGCAGACUACAACCCUCUCGUACAGGCAAUCUCCACC